UAUAGACUAUGGGAAAUAUUUGCCAAUUAACAGAUUGUUGCAAAGUCGGUACAGGAUUCUUUGAGAAUAUCUGUACCUUUUCUAGAGGUGUAUUAUUCUAGAAACACAAACUCUUUCCUUGUAGUUUCUUCCAUGGGUACUUGGAAUCAGAAUUUCUGGAAAAGGUGGGCAUCACAACUGCUUUUUUAUUCGUUUUUUCAAGCUCAGGAAUGAGGUGAAGUGUGAAGAAUGUUUGUGGCUAGUCUGGAAAUCAAUGGAAAACGUGUUAUAGUUUUAUGACAAAUCAAGUAGCACAGAUUUGCUUUGUGUUUGGGAGUUAAUCUACACACUCUAAAAAUGUUCCAAAUCCAGUUAAAGCAACUGAAAUACGAGACUUUGCUGGCACCCCCUAGAAAGAACACACUGCUAUGUCACACAGCUCUCACAAAUGAGUGGGAGAGAUCAUCUCAAACCUUCAACUGUGUAUUUUAAAACACAUGCCAACUGCUCUGAUUCUUGCCAUUAACAACUUCAGAAUUAGCUUACAGAUGGUAAUCUC
rnacentral:lncRNA from 1 species